rnacentral:lncRNA from 1 species
UCACAAGAAUAUAUCCAAGACCAAAAAUUGAGGAUUGGUUUUCCACUUGAUAUGCAAGACAAAAAUGCUCUCUAGUUUCAAUGGGAGGAAGAAGAGAAUGUCUUGCAUUCAUAUGGGAACCAUAACCCCCUCUUAUAACAUAUGAGUUAUGAAACUCAAAAGUCAUAAGCAUGUAACCAUGGUUGCAUGUAUCUAACCUUAGUUAGCCCAUCAUUAACUAAGGUUAUCCUUUUGGGUAUCUAUACAUUAGUCCUACACUUUAUAUGACAAUAUAUUGACCCCCUUAACAAUGUCCAUAAGACCACC